CCCGGGCCUUGACUUUGACACGUGAUGUAUAUGGAUACAGUUUAUUCUGAAAGGCUUAAUAAAAUCAUGGUAUGGCCCCUUUAAGGGGUCCUGGAAGCAGCAGAGUGGGAUUCCAACAGGAAGUUGGGAUUUCUAACUGUUGCAUUGUGGGAAUGUUUUCCAGAAAACUAAAAACAUUGAAGCAAAGACAUGAAUGUAUUUAGUUUCUGUAAAGCUAAACAAACCCAAGUGACAAUGAGACUCACAGAGUAACAAGUUGUCAGCUUCCUCACAGAUUUCAUUGUUUAUUUUCCCGUCUUUCCUUCUGCUCCGUCUCUGCAACGCCGGCCUUGAACUUGAGCUCGGCACACACCGAACAGCCUCGCCUCGCCGCCGUAGCGCAGCCUCCCACACACACAGAUGGUCGGAGAGAUGCUGCGGCAAUUAGGCUGAUCCAUUCGGAGCCUGCGACUGUAACAAGGAGAAGGACGCCUACCGCCGGAUCCCGCUGCUCUCUGAGGGUCAAAUGCAGGAAGAAGUCUGAAACCAGACGGAUGCAGAGGGAGGAGACACCUGACUGGAUCUGCACCUGAGUGGAUGACUCAGUUUGAUCUUAUUAGAAGAGUGGAGCAAUCAGUGAGGAGGAAGAGAACGGCAGUGAGGAGAGCAGGCAAGGAGGAAUAUCGCUUUUCAGAGCAGAGCUGUGGAAAAAAGCAACAAAAACCAAAAAACCUCCAGCUUGAAGGGUGAAAACUUCCUGAAGAGCAAACAAACUAUGAUUUGGGAUCAGCUGAUGAAGAGGUGGAUGAUGCUCAUUUUAAUGAUGAAUGCAAUCUUCUGGGAAAAUACAAAAAAAA